CCGGGGCUGCGUGAGCCGCGCCUGCGCACUACUCUCUGCGCGCAGCCGCCCGAAAGGCUCCACCUGGCAGGCCUCUACGGCGGGGAGGCUGCAACCGACGGCUGCCAACCGGGAUAAGCAGGAAACCGGACCGUUGAUGCCGAACUGACCCCUCUCUUUCCCCGCCUACCGCUUACCUCCUGAGUGUGACUUGAAAAUGGAACCAUUAGGCCUCAGUAUUCUGGAAGGCGCUGCCCCCACCCCGCAGCCGGUUAGCCAGGACCGGCUCACAACUCGAACUGCCUUUUUCAAGAAACAUUCCUGGAAGGCAGGCGUGGUUAAUCACAGUCCUGGAGGCCGAGGCAGUCGGAUUUUCAGGAGUCCUAGGCCAGCCUGGCCUACAUAGCGAGAUCCAGACCAACCAGUGAGACGCCCUGUCUCUGAAAAAAAGAAAUAUUCCUGGAUACCAAAAAAUAUUCUUGGAAGUCUCAGACAACACAUAGGUUGUAACCAACUGCAUCGUGCUGCCACCACCACUGACUGAGAUGAUUCCACUGUCAUGCCUUCUCCCCCAUGACUGACUGAAGUCCCUUGAAAACUUUAGCCAAGGAAAACCUUCCUCCCUUGGGAUGUCUCUAACAGUCUGUAAACUUCAAGACCAGUGGCUUAACAGG